GAUGAACGCUGGCGGCGUGCCUAACACAUGCAAGUCGAGCGAGAAACUACCAACUGACACUUCGGUAGAUUUUGGUAGCGGAAAGCGGCGGACGGGUGAGUAACGCGUAGGCAACCUGCCCAUAACAAAGGAAUAGCCUCGGGAAACCGGGAUUAAAACCUUAUAACGCCAUAGUAACACAUGUUACAUUGGUCAAAGAUUUAUCGGUUAUGGAUGGGCCUGCGUCUGAUUAGUUAGUUGGUGAGGUAACGGCUCACCAAGGCGUCGAUCAGUAACGGACCUGAGAGGGUAAUCGGUCACAUUGGAACUGGGACACGGUCCAGACUCCUACGGGAGGCAGCAGUGGGGAAUAUUGCACAAUGGAGGAAACUCUGAUGCAGCAACGCCGCGUGAACGAAGAAGGUUCUAUGAAUCGUAAAGUUCUGUCCUAAGGGAAGAAACAAAUGACGGUACCUUAGGAGGAAGCCCCGGCUAACUACGUGCCAGCCGCCGCAGUAA
rnacentral:rRNA from 1 species